UUACACAUCAUUCGUUAGCAAAAUCAUAAUUACAAACAUGCAAAAUAACUAAAUCCCUAUACAUGCCAUAACUCAAACGUGUUUCAUCAUAAAAUACCGAGCAAUUGUGGUUGAUAGUGUGGACGAUCUCCGACUUCUUUAGGAUCCUUGAAGUAGCUUUGCAAUACUAUAAGAGAAAGAGAAAUAAAAGAAGUAAGCAUAAAGCUUAGUAAGUUUACUAGCAAAUAAAUAACAACAUUAAACACAAAUAAUUAAACUCAAGAGUCUAUAUCUCUAGUUUACUCUUUAGUUAAUCUCAUUCUAGUUCUCUUGCUUAUUUACUUAGUAUACUUGGGUGCAUAACUUACUCUUCUCUUGCUGCAUCGUUGAAUAUUAAUUGAUAAUAUAAUAAGUUCUUAACUCUUAUAACUUACCUGAGCUUGCCAUUUAUGUUUUUAACUAAACUUUCCUGAACAUGAUUCGUUUAUUAGCCCGUUGAGCUACAUUGGAACAAUAAGGAUACUCGGGUCUCUUCUGAUAAUAACAUGCCAAAGCCAUGUCCCAAACAUGGUCUUACAUGAGAUGUUCUCAUGUCGGUGCCCAUGCCAUGUCCAGACAUGGUCUUACGGGGGACCUCUCAUCUCGGUGCCAACGCCAUGUCCCAGACAUGGUCUUACAUGGGACCUCUCAUCUCGGUGCCAAUGCCAUGUCCCAGACAUGGUCUUACAUGGGACCUCUUUACCCGAAUGUCAUGACAUUCGUAUCCAGUACCAUCCUUAUGUAUCAACGAGACUUUUUAAUUUUAAUUUUCUAUCAUUUCAUGCUUGGAUCAUCAUCAAAUAAAUUCAUGAAAUAAAUUCAUAGUUGCUGGAAAAUAGCAGCAUUAAUAAUAAUUAUUGAAAUAUUGCAUUUAUUUACCAUAAACUUACCUCAGUACCAAAUAUAGCCCAAUUCACCAACUUAGUCUUCAACUUUAUUCUUCCCUUUGUCUAACCUCGAGUUUCGUUCUUCUUGAUCUAAAAUAGUAAAUUUAACUUAUUUAAUACUCACAUUUAUCAAAACAGCCGUCGACUCUAACUUUAUCAAAAUUACGAUUUUACCCCUAAACUUUUUCAUAAUUACAUUUUUCCCCAAGGCCCGAAAAUUAAACUUCAUAUCAUAUUAUUUUGUUUUAUGACAUGCUGAACAUUUUUCUCUUCUAUGAUAACAACAAAUUCUCACUCUAACACUUACUUAUGUACAUUAGAGAUUUUUACCGAUUAUGUCAACUUACUCGUUUUCGCUUAAAAUCGGCUAGCAAAAGUUGUUUAACAUAAUUUAUAGCUUUGUAAUCUAUCAUAAAACAUCAAAAUAAACACUUUUCACCUAUGAGUAUUUUUCAAAAUGUAAACCCUAGGUUAAAUUAUUACUAGAAUAAGCUAAAUUAAGCUAUCGAGACUCCAAAAACGUAAAUAACAUUAAAAACGGGGCUUGGGAUCACUUACUAUGGAGCUUGGAAGCUUGAAAACCCUAACUAUGACUUCUCCCCUUUCUG
rnacentral:lncRNA from 1 species